rnacentral:misc_RNA from 1 species
GAUGAAGAACGCAGCGAAAUGCGAUAAGUAGUGUGAAUUGCAGAAUUCAGUGAAUCAUCGAAUCUUUGAACGCACAUUGCGCCCCUUGGUAUUCCAUGGGGCAUGCCUGUUCGAGCGUCAUUACAACCCUCAAGCUUUGCUUGGUAUUGGACAUUGCCAGUUUCUGGCAGGUCUUAAAAUCAGUGGCGGUGCCAUUUGGCUUCAAGCGUAGUAAUUCUUCUCGCUUUGGAGAUCCAGGUGGUUACUUGCCAAUAACCCCCAAUUUUUUCAGGUUGACCUCGGAUCAGGUAGGGAUACCCGCUGAACUUAAGCAUAUCAAUAAGCGGAGGA